rnacentral:lncRNA from 10 species
AAGUUCCUGUAUUUUUAUGUGGAGUUGCUCACUGCCCAACGUAGAGGACUAGGAAUCAGGAGUCGGUGGCCGUAUGCUGGAGGCUGGAGCCGCGGGAGCGCGGCUCGCCUCGCUGCGGUUGUUGGCAGUGACGGAGAGAGAGCAGCGCGGCUGGAGCAGGACAUUGUAUUAGUUUCCUGCAAUAAAAUAUUUUUACAAUGUCAGUUUGUCGAAACUGCUGGACUGUAAACUAUUUCUAAUCGAAACCUGAAAUUGUGUCACAACAUGGCUGUAUUACGAUUCCAUGUCAGAGGAAGGAUAUAUACGUGCAUCUGGUAGUGGCUUCCAGUUGUUGCUGUCAGAUGUUUGUUUGGGAAUGCAUUCAGAAGAGCUUAUCAAGGACUUGAGUACAAAACAAGCAUUUCCACAAAAAAGCAGUGACACAAAUCACUAUGUAAUAUAGUUAGCCUUUGAACAACACGGAUUUGAACUGCAGGGGUCUACUUAUGAGCAGAUUUUCUCCCACCUCUACCACCUGAGACAGCGAAGACCAAUCUUCCUCUUCCUCCUUCUCCUUAGCCUGCUCAACUUGAAGACUAUGAUGAAGAGUUAUAUAAUGAUCUACUUGCAUUUAAUGAACAAAAUUGAAGUUGAAGUAUAAGGAGAAUUUUUACAUCACCCAGGUUCUAAUUUGGAAGGUUUCUAACAGCCCUCUGUCCUCUUCUGGUGCUCACUGUGAAAGAAUUUGCACCCUGCAACACUAAGUGUUUGUGCUAGAAUCCACUUCUGAUGUUGGCUGCUCUGACACAGCUUCCAUUCGGCAGGGUCUCACUCUUGUCGCCCAGACUGCAUUGCAGUGGGGUGAUCUCGGCUCAUUGCAACCUCUGUCUCCCGGAUUCAAGCAAUUCUCCUGCCUCAGCCCCCC